rnacentral:lncRNA from 1 species
CGUGGAGGUGCUCUGAGCAGGAUUUACUGAGGAGGAGCAGCCCGUGCCUAUCAGCAAGGUUAAAACAUUAACGUUUGCUCUGUAAGGACAGUUGUCCCAGGCACACAUGUGUCUUGAAGGAAGUGAGGUGGAGGAAGCUCUAGGAGCAGUUCAGCUAUAUCCUACUUCUCAUGGACCUCCCCAUGGGACAGAAGGGGGUCCAAAGGCACGAUGACACAGCCAGGGUCCUACCUGGAGACUGGUGGGCUGAGUCCUAAUGCAUCUUGGAGAAAGCAGAUUCUGGAUCCAAUACCUUGCCGUCAUGCAGAGGUGCCCAUAAUGGUUAUUUAUGUUCCUGGUGAGUUUAUUUCCCCAUUCAGCUAGGGUCAUUUAUUUCCACGGGAGGGUGAGACA